rnacentral:rRNA from 1 species
AUUGAACGCUGGCGGCAGGCCUAACACAUGCAAGUCGAACGAGUGGCGGACGGGUGAGUAACACGUGAUAACCUACCUAUAAGACUGGGAUAACUUCGGGAAACCGGAGCUAAUACCGGAUACUUAUAGAUGGAUCCGCGCUGCAUUAGCUAGUUGGUAAGGUAACGGCUUACCAAGGCAACGAUGCAUAGCCGACCUGAGAGGAUGACCAGCCACACUGGAACUGCGACACGGUCCAGACUCCUACGGGAGGCAGCAGUGGGGAAUAUUGCACAAUGGGCGCAAGCCUGAUGCAGCCAUGCCGCGUGUAUGAAGAAGGCCUUCGGGUUGUAAAGUACUUUCAGCGAGGAGGCGUUACUCGCAGAAGAAGCACCGGCUAACUCCGUGCCAGCAGCCGCGGUAAUAC